UACGAAGGGGGCUAGCGUUGCUCGGAAUGACUGGGCGUAAAGGGCGCGUAGGCGGAUGGCACAGUCAGAUGUGAAAUUCCCGGGCUUAACCUGGGGGCUGCAUUUGAUACGUGUUGUCUUGAGUUCGGAAGAGGGUCGUGGAAUUCCCAGUGUAGAGGUGAAAUUCGUAGAUAUCGGGAGGAACACCGGUGGCGAAGGCGGCGAUCUGGGUCGAUACUGACGCUGAGGUGCGAAAGCGUGGGGAGCAAACAGG
rnacentral:rRNA from 1 species